rnacentral:lncRNA from 1 species
UUGGUCCAAUACUUCUACGCAAUGUUGAUGAGAGUGUAAGAUUUUCAAUCUACUCAAUUCAAUGAUAAUUCACCACAUAACUCAUAGAAUUAUACAACUAUAUAUACACAUUCUUUAGAAUAUAUUUCUAGUAAUGAUACUAUCUAUGUGGCUACAAUUUUGUAAUGUUUACAAAAAGCAACGGCCUUGAAUUUAGUAAUAUGUGUUGACUACUGCAGAUUACACGUGAAGGUGCUGCCAUAAUUUUAGCAUAGGAUAAUUUGUCUUGAUUAGAGCUUGAUUAGUGUAACCUUGAUUUACUCGUAUAGGCUAAGAGCUAGCUUUGUUGAUUGGUGCUUGAUUUGUGCUAUCAUCCUUAAUACGUCCCCAAAAGAUGGGUCUGCCAUUGACAAGGCCAAUCUUGUUCCAAAGAAGCUUCGUGCAUUGCCAUGACAAUUGUUUCAUGAGAAGAUCCGCAAGUUGAUCUUCAGUAUUGACAUGACGAACAUAUAAUGUGCCCCAUUAAACCAUGUCGCGCACAAAGUGGAGAUCUAUCUGGACACGCGUUAUCCGAGAAUGCUAGAUGGGAUUGAAAAUCGAGGUGUAUCGCUCUAAGGUUUAUCACAGAGCAACAUUGGUGGAGACUUGAAAGGAAGUCCAAGUUCAUGAAACAAUGAAAGCAGCCAUAGCGUUUUAGAAGUAGCAUUUGCAAGUGCUCUAUAUUCGGCCUCAAUAGAUGAGCGGACAACAACUCGCUGUUUCUUUGAGCUCCACGAUAUAGGAUUGGAACCAAGAAAACUGACAUAGGCCGAAGUAGAUGUACGAUAAUCAAG